rnacentral:rRNA from 1 species
AAGGUAGCUUGCUACUGGACCUAGCGGCGGACGGGUGAGUAAUGCUUAGGAAUCUGCCUAUUAGUGGGGGACAACAUUCCGAAAGGAAUGCUAAUACCGCAUACGCCCUACGGGGGAAAGCAGGGGAUCUUCGGACCUUGCGCUAAUAGAUGAGCCUAAGUCGGAUUAGCUAGUUGGUGGGGUAAAGGCCUACCAAGGCGACGAUCUGUAGCGGGUCUGAGAGGAUGAUCCGCCACACUGGGACUGAGACACGGCCCAGACUCCUACGGGAGGCAGCAGUGGGGAAUAUUGGACAAUGGGCGGAAGCCUGAUCCAGCCAUGCCGCGUGUGUGAAGAAGGCCUUUUGGUUGUAAGCACUUUAAGCGAGGAGGAGGCUCCUUUAGUUAAUACCUAAAGUGAGUGGACGUUACUCGCAGAAUAAGCACCGGCUAACUCUGUGCCAGCAGCCGCGGUAAUACAGAGGGUGCGAGCGUUAAUCGGAUUUACUGGGCGUAAAGCGUGCGUAGGCGGCUUUUUAAGUCGGAUGUGAAAUCCCUGAGCUUAACUUAGGAAUUGCAUUCGAUACUGGAAAGCUAGAGUAUGGGAGAGGAUGGUAGAAUUCCAGGUGUAGCGGUGAAAUGCGUAGAGAUCUGGAGGAAUACCGAUGGCGAAGGCAGCCAUCUGGCCUAAUACUGACGCUGAGGUACGAAAGCAUGGGGAGCAAACAGGAUUAGAUACCCUGGUAGUCCAUGCCGUAAACGAUGUCUACUAGCCGUUGGGGCCUUUGAGGCUUUAGUGGCGCAGCU